UGGGGAAUAUUGGUCAAUGGGGGGCGCAGGCCUGAACCAGCCAAGUCGCGUGAGGGAAGACGGUCCUACGGAUUGUAAACCUCUUUUGUCGGGGAGUAACGUGCGGGACGCGUCCCGUAUUGAGAGUACCCGAAGAAAAAGCAUCGGCUAACUCCGUGCCAGCAGCCGCGGUAAUACGGAGGAUGCGAGCGUUAUCCGGAUUUAUUGGGUUUAAAGGGUGCGCAGGCGGCGCGCCAAGUCAGCGGUCAAAGUUCCGGGCUCAACCCGGUGUCGCCGUUGAAACUGGUGUGCUCGAGUGCGUGCGAGGAAGGCGGAAUGCGUUGUGUAGCGGUGAAAUGCAUAGAUAUGACGCAGA
rnacentral:rRNA from 1 species